rnacentral:rRNA from 1 species
UACCAGCAUCCCGAGUGGUCGGGACGUUUAUUGGUCCUAAAGCAUCCGUAGCCGGUUCUACAAGUCUUCCGUUAAAUCCAGCUGCUUAACAGAUGGGCUGCGGAAGAUACUAUGGAGCUAGGAGGCGGGAGAGGCAAGCGGUACUCGAUGGGUAGGGGUAAAAUCCGUUAAUCCAGUGAAGACCACCAGUGGCGAAGGCGGCUAUCUGGACGGUUUCUGACGCUAAGACGCGAAAGCGUGGGGAGCAAACAGG